UCACAUUUCCAACCCACCUACAUCACUACAACUGAUAGCAUAUUCACAAAAACAAAAAAUUCACUUCCUGCAACAUUCUCCCAUCAUUUAAAAACAACUUUCACUACACAUCAUAAUCCAAAAAGUUUCCACAACCUUCAUACUUCCUCUCCUCAUUUCUUUCAUUUUAUACUACCAUUAAAAUUAUCUUCUCCAUAAACCCCUUUGAAAAAGUAAAUACCAAUCUCACUAAACCACUCCAUAAACGCCUUUGAAAAAUGAAAUACCAAUCUCACUAAACCGCA
rnacentral:lncRNA from 1 species